GACGAACGCUGGCGGCGUGCCUAAUACAUGCAAGUCGCACGAAGCUGUUUUAACUGGUGCUUGCACCGACUUAAACAACUGAGUGGCGAACGGGUGAGUAACACGUGGGUAACCUUCCCCAAAGCGGGGGAUAACAUUUGGAAACAGAUGCUAAUAACGCAUCACCACAGAAACCACAUGUUUUCUGUGUCAAACAUGGUUUCGACUAUCACUUUGGUAUGGACCCGAGGCGGAUUAGCUAGUUGGUAAGGUAAUGGCUUACCAAGGCAAUGAUACGGAGACGAACUGAGGGGUUGAUCGGACACAUUGGGACUGAGACACGGCACAGACUCCUACGGGAGGCAGCAGUAGGGAAUCUUCCACAAUGGACGAAAGUCUGAUGGAGCAACGCCGCGUGAGUGAAGAAGGUUUUCGGAUCGUAAAACUCUGUUGUCAGAGAAGAACGUGUGCGAGAGUAACUGCUCGUGCAGUGACGGUAUCUGGCCAGAAAGCCACGGCUAACUACGUGCCAGCAGCCGCCGUAA
rnacentral:rRNA from 1 species